AGCUGGAUGGAAGUGGAGCUGCCAGGACUCUGACACCUGUGCUGGUGCUGCAGGGCCGACUCGGCUUGCUCUCCCGCGGUGCCGUCGCUGGCCAUGGCUGGGCUGUUUCCAUGGCCGUCGUGGGGUUUAGCAGCAUUGUGGAAAGAGGAGUGUCAUGGAAGCCUUGGCGUGGAUUUGUUUCCUUGGCAGCUUCCAGUCAGCUCUGACCUGCGUGGGUGCCGCGUGAAGGCGGCUGUGCCGGGCUGGUCGCCAGGGCGGCCGGUUAAGCGGGCCUCAGCGUGCAGAGCUGUGCUCUUGCUGCCGACAGUUUGGUCUGCAGUGGGCUCUGGGGUGUGAACGCCUAGCCCUCGUGGCACCUGAGCCUUCCACGCCGGCCACGAGGCUGGAGACAUCUGCUCCUCCUUUGUUCUGGAUUCUCCGUGUUGGGGCUGAGAUCCACUUAGUGUGUGAUGUGAGUGGAUCCGCAGGCUGCUGACCAGUGUCCGAUAGACCCAGCGUCUUGGGGAGGCUUCUGUUCUCCCUCUGUGGGUGUGGAGGGAGGGGAGUGCAGGUCACCGGCUGAAGCCGUGGGGUCUGAUGGGGGGAUGAGGAGGGAGGAGCAUGCUCUGUUUUGGCCUGAGAGCUGGUUCCCCCUAAGUCAUAGCUCCCUUCUGUGACCAGGAUGGAGCCACGGGGGCCGAGCCGCAGCUGCGUUCUGUCCUCCGCACGCUGGGAGCAGAGGAGAGCUUGAGGGAAGAGCUGGUCCGUGCAGGAGGCUGCCUCAGCGUCCCUUGAAGGGCCAGCAGGAGCCCACUGCACGCCUACUUGGAAGACACCUGGUCUCUAGGAGGCCGCGUCUGGGUGGGGGCCUUGUGACAGGGAUAUGUUGACACUCCCACUCAGGUUCCCGUCGGUGGCUUCUCAGGCCUGGUGAGGGUCGGGUCGUGGGGACUCACACUCGUGCAGCAAAGCCCAGUCCUGCGUGUUCCUUUGGCCCCCUGGGUUGCUGCUGUCACCCUCGGGUUCUCUGAACGUUCUGUUCUAACCAUAGCA